UCUCUCUCUCUCUCUCUCUCUCUCUCUCAAAACAGGGUUUUCCCAUGGCGGGAUUUUGCCUAAUAGAUAAGGCUCUAUGGCCAGAAAGCUGCCAGGAUCCACCUGUCUCUACAAUCCCAGUACUAGAAUUACAAAUGUACAAUACCACAUCUGGCCUUUGUACAUGGCUUCUGGAGAUUAAGCCAGUUUUUAAACUAUCACAGGAAGCACUUUGCCAACUGAGCCAUAUUCCAAACCCUCAUUUUAUAUUUGUUUACUCUAGGUGGGCGAGGACUUUGGCUUAUAUCCUUGACAAGUCCUGCUUAAAGUCUGUUUUUUGUCUAUAAGUUGUCCUUCUGUGGUUUUUGGUUCCCAUGCUUUUAAUUCCCUGCAGUGACCUGGCAUCAAGGCCUAAUGGUCCUGCUGACAUCCUCUUGCUCUCUCACAGUAUCUGUCUUCUGUCCAUCUCCUCAUUUAGGCACUGUCAAUUCUCUGAUGACGGGGUGGUUGAGCAUACCACAGUCACAGACAGUCAGCACAGUAGAUUGCUAAAGUAGGUCUGAUAUUUGUUGGAUGUUUAUCCUAGGUGUGUAUGUGAUGGCUAAGCUUCAUUGUUUACUGGACUUAGUACAUUGCUUGAGAGGCUAUUUAAAGAAAGAAGGGAUGAUCCACCUAGAAUGCGGGUGGAACCAUCUGACAGGCAUUGGUCUUUGACUAAAUAGAGGAGGUGAGCUGGGCACCAUCAUUCAUGUCUCUCUGCUCUCCAGCUGCAGAUGCAUGCCAGGAAGCCUCCCAUCUCUGCCACUAUGCCUCCCUGUGUUGUGAUGGACUGAAACCCUGAAUGGUGAGCCAGAAAUAAACUCUUCCUUCCUUAAGUUGCCAGACAUUUUCUCACAGCAACCAGAAGUGACUAUGUUGCUAUGUAGAGGAAGAUACAGGACAUAGAAGUCAAACAUACCUGAGGUUUCCUCCACUCCAGGAGUCUCUGGGUGAGGCUGCAGGUAAAGGUGUUGCUGGGAACAGCAGUCCUAGUGGGUGUGAUCUGGUCUCUCAGUGUGAGGUGUAUUUGUGAGGGCUUUUGCAUUCAUUCUGUUAUCUUUUUUCCUUGGUUUUAGUCUUCUCUAUACAGGUAAGGACCGGUGUGAGAUUCACACACUUUCAGGAGCCGCACAGUGUUGCUGUGGGUCUCUGGAUCUUAUUUAUUUUGCAUGACUGGGAUUCUGGCCCGUUCACUAGUAACUGCCAUCCCUGACUCCUGCCAAGCAGAAUUCUCUCUAUUCCCCCCCCCCCCCCCUUGGGUCACAGCAUUGGUCUUCCUCUGGAUUGCUUGACUUACCAGAUCCCAGAAGGGUGGUGAAAUACAGUCUGAAAUGCUCUACUUGUGCAUGAGAGCUGGUAGAAUGUCCUAUCACCUUUUUCCUCUUAAAAUCAGGAGAAUGAACCUCCCUUGAAUGACAGCUGCCCCCACCCCAAGAAGAAACAUUCCUUGUCAGGGGAACAGCCAAAACUGCAUGAGGUCUUGAUCUUGGUCUUUUCCCCAAAGCUCUCAUCUUCUGCCAGCUCCCGUCAACAUCAACAGCCCUUUCCACACUCACCUGUUGUCCCACAUCCUGCUUGGGUCUUGCUGGUUCUUUGAGUGUUGGGAUUUCAGUGAGGCCCUACUCACAGGGCAUGUAUGCUCUUCUCCCUGUGGGUCUGUCUUAGCCUUAGAGGAUGCAGGUACAAUUUUGCCUUGCCUGUCCGCUCAAGGUUAAUGCUUGUCACAUUACAGGAUUUCGGUUGAGGGUCUCACUUUUCUUUUGAAUGUGAUGACCAGACAAUUUCCAGGCUCUCAAGUUUGAGACUACAAUAUCCUUAAAGAGGCUCAAACUCCAUCAAAAGUUUUGUUUUGUUUUGUUUUGUUUUCUGCAGCUCCCAAGCAUUCUAAAAUGUGUUUGCUGUUGAAGGCCACAGUAAGUCAGGACAAGUAUGACAAGAAAGUCAUUGGGCACUAGGAACAAUGCAGCUAGUUUCAGUGGAGACAUGGGGGAAGUAAUAAAAGACUAGAUUUUGAAAGCUUGGUACACACUAAGGAUGCAAAUGGCCUCAACCAUAAUUAGAAUUGAGGGUAUAUCUCCACAGGUAGAAAGCUUGCCUGCCAUGCAGAAAGCCCUGGCUUCCAUGCCCAGAACCACAUAUGAUCAGAAAUUCAAGGUCACAUAGUUUGUGGCCAGUCUUGAAUCUGUGAGACCCUGUCUCACACAUAAUAAUUGUAAUUUUAUAUUAUUUACAAAUGUUUGAUGAGACACAACAUUAACCUUACCUGGUUGUGCUUUUUUUUUUUCAAUAUGCCUACUAAGAAAUGUAUAGUUCUGUAGAAUUUUAUAGUUCUGUAGCAUUCUAUGUCCCUGUCACAGCAUUUUUGCUUUAUGGAGUUCAAUGUAGUAACACUCACUGUCUGAGUUUUCACAGCCUCAAAACUUGUCUCUCAAGAGUGAUGGUCUCUGGUCAGCUCACGCCAUACUACCUGGAAGCUCACAAGCAAAUGACUUUCCAGCCUCCCAAGCUGCAGGCCCACUCCAUGGAUCCUGACAUCUGCAGUGCCUGGGUGAGCUGCGUAGUUUUCACACUGUAGUUACUUGGAAAUGUGCAGCCGUGUCGACAGAGACAAGAAGCCAAAGUAACAGGGACCUCACGUUCAUGCAGCUAUCAGAACGCAACUGAAAUGAAGACAGCGACAGAUCAGAUCCACACAUAGACAAGGCCUCACUGCUGGGAUUAGGCUCUGUGCCCACUAUUUUGGUCCACAUAAAGGCUGUUAGCAAGAAAGUAUUACUAAUGUAAACUAUGAGGAAUACUGGCUCAGCCGCUCCUGUGAGAAGCUUUGCACUCUCCACCGCCCCCCAGCAAUGCACAGCCCCACCUUUUCCAGCGCUUCACGGACCACUCUCUCUGUUUCCCGCUUGUGGUCCGACUUCAUCCUGUCUUUAAAGUCAUUAAAAAUUUUGGUGUA